rnacentral:lncRNA from 1 species
GAUGGUGUUUCCAUGGAUAGGCUUUGCGCGUGCCGUGUUUUCCCGCCGAUGUGAUAUGGUUAUGCUGUUGAGAGCUUAAAUAAAUGGACUUUAUAAAUUGACUACGAACAAUUAUUGAAGUUUAACACUUUGUUCAGCAAACUUGACCACUGACGGCUUGAACUUUAGGUUGUACUUUUUUUUUUCUCAGACAUUGCUCUGGUUUUUUUCUUAUUACGGGUAAGCUAAUCUGACGUCGUGACUGCGCAAACUUUGGCCUACUGAUUUUAUGUUCGAAUGUUCCGCCGCCGUUCACAACAUUUACUUUUCGUUUGGUUUUAUUAUAUAAAUGAUUAUACUUUCGAGUGUUUUUAAAGUAGAUUAUCGAAAUAAACUCUGUAUAAAGACAGGUUAAUAUAUGUCACUUACUUUAUCUGUCGUCUUCUAUCUGUCUUUUCUUCUGUGGAAUGAUGCUCAUGACGUCUGGGCUGGUAUUUAAAGGCUGUCACGGCACGAGCCGCUGUAUCGCGUGCUCAUUCAGAUCAAUGCUGACAUGAUAAUAACGUAUGGUCGUUCUGAACAGGUAGCUUGGUUGCAUGUCUGACACAAUCUGUCAGUCCCCUUUUUAAAACGACAAUAACUGAGCAGUGUAGCUUUCUUGAAUGUAUGAGUUAGUUGUCCUGUUACUGAUGGACUGUUUAAUUGUAUUCGUAUUUUACACUUACCACAGACAGAUCUUGCUUGCAUCAAAUGCUGCUUUGAGGGUCACUCAACACGGAUGCUUCCUGUUGCAUCCAGGAGGCCACCGGACCACUCACCACAGGAGCUGAUGCACAUUCUUCUGCUGAACUUUACACCGUUGUCCCACCAUCCACUGAACUGAACACCAUUCAGACUCAUGGCUUUAUCAGCAGUGACAUGCGUGUGGUGUGUAGAGACUCCAACGGUUGUGUCAGUGUUCUCUCGCUAACGGCGCCGGGGCUAGAGACCACGGCCCAGUGGAAGGCUCUGAGGCCUGGAUCACAGCCAUCUCCUUCUAGGACACCCAGCUGCUCUACUCAGCAAGCUGAAAGGCUGGGACCCCAGGAUGGAGCUCUCCUCUCCCACUUUCACCAGCAAGAGAAGAUGCUACUGCUGCUGCCUCAGCACUACACUUCCAGGUCUGCACUACGGUCUGUCCAAAGGCUGCAUCCCACAUGGCCGGUGGAACUACGUGCUCUUUAGCACAGGGGUCCAGGACCUCCUUGUCCCCAUCUGGGAGGGUCCUGAACCCCACGGCCUGGACCCCCUUGGGGGAGGGGGGAAUUAAUUUGGCCUUUUCAAAUUGAAAUAAUAAAUGGAAAGGCAUGGCUUGGACAAUCUCUCCAAAGGCUAAUGCCUCCUUUGCUGUCAUUUAAUAACUGGAGGAGAGACCCUAGCUGCUCCUUCUGGCCCGCAUAUGCAUGGCGCUUAUAGGGAGGCCAACCUCUAGCUGUGAGGUUGGCCUCCCGGGAGAUACCAAGGCCCGGGUCUCUGCCUCCAGGUGGGGGCGGGGACUUGUACAGGGUCAGUGAUGUAUGUUUCUGUUGUAUGUUGUUUCAUGUUUUGUUGGUUUUAAUAAAUCCAGUUUUCUGACUAAACUGAAGUGUUUAUUGA